GAGGGUAUAGCUCAGUGGUAGAGCAUGUGCUUAGCAUGCACAAGGUCCUGGGUCCAAUCCCCAGUACCUCCA
rnacentral:tRNA from 1 species